AGAAGCCAUAACCUUGCAUGAAUUCAUCGAUUUAAUAUUCGAGUAGUAUAUGGAUGAAUCAUAAUGCUCAUCAGUAAGACUCAACUCGGGCCUGACUAAGAGUGCUCCACGAUGUGGGACAAAAAAACUCGAGGCAAGAGUUUGGGGAUGACUUGUAUGUAUAUAUAUAUAUAUGGCAAGAGUUGGUCUUCUGGACAAAAACCCGCGAAGGGCGAAAAGCAAAGAAGGGUAAAAAAAGGGAUGGAAAAGCAUCAUCGUUCACAUGUCCAAAAUUCUAUCCUACUACGCUUCACCCUCUCCUCCUUCAACAAGACCGUACGCCACCAUGAUUCUCCACGCCCUUCGCUCCUCUCAGAUCAGUUCCAGUUUUUCCCAUCUCAACAACAUAAGAUGAUCAGCACCAGAUGGCAGUGACUCGGCUGGAUCGCUGUGCGGUCACCUCCUUCCUUACCAGGUGUUGAUCCGAAGCCCAUGAAGGAGGUCUGCAAGUCAUCCAGUUUCAAGUCCAUGAACCACUCAUCUUCUUUCUCAAUCUUUUCGACCAUCUGGAGUCCUACUGCUCUGCUGGUGCUUAAUGCUUGUCCUCCAGUAGAAGCUUGGGAUGGAUAACCUAAAUCAUCGAAGUCUGGCAGCACAUCAUCGUUUUCGACAUCGGAUUCUGGCGUCCUGAAGCUGUCCGACCCUGUAUCGUCCAAUGAAUCCAUGGUCAAUCCGAAGGAUGUCUCCUCCUUUUGCUGCUGCUGCAUCUUCUCCCAGGUGUUCUUCUUGUUGUAUAGCCGGCAAAGAACCCAGUCGUCCAACUGCAUGAACACGGCGAACCAUUCAUCAUCUUUAAGAAACAGAAAGGUAUUAAUUAUCACCUGCACUUCUCUGAGCAAUUUUUAUAAGAUGUUAUUCAUUUGUAUUAUUACCCUGAGGCUUCCCUUAUUGGAUUUGCGGUUUGUAUCAGCCACUCUGUAUUCAUGCAUGAUCCAGUCCGUCUUCACUCCUCGUGGUGCCUUCCCGGAGUAAAAGACCAAAGCUUUCUUGAUCCCAACGGUCCUGUUGCUCCCCUUGGGCGAGAUCGGCUUAUCGGCACCAGUUGCCUUCCAGUAUCCCUUCCCGGCACUCCGGUUCGGCCUUGAGCCGUUUGGGUACUUGCGGUCACGGGGGGUGAAGAAAUACCACUCCCUUUGUCCAAACAAUGAUUUGUCUGCUCACAUCACAAACAUACAAAGCCAAAUCAAUUUAGCCCACAGGUAUGGAAACCA